UAGUCAUCGGGCUUUCUCAGGAAGACAGAGACUCCGGGGAAAAGUCAGGCGGUGAGGCACACCCCUGCCCUACUGACCUCUUUUCCCACCGAAAGACCAAGGCGCCCUGACUCACCAGGUGAGUCCGAGCCCUCGCACCUGCUCCCUCCUGUCUUGGUUAAGCCGCCGUGUUUUGAAGCAGCGAGACAUUUGACCACUUCUGGAAGGUCUUUACGGCCCUGACAGCCAUUUCUCUUUGGAAAGCUGCCAAGGGGAUGGAAUCCCAGGUCACAGACACAGACGAGACGGACAAAGAAAGGAAGAUACAAGAAGGAGGAUAGUCACGUGUUAGGAUUAGCACCCCAGGCCAGCGGAGUGGAGGGGAAGAGAGGAAGAGCUGCAGAUGUGGAGUAAGAGGCCCUGGAGAUGAGCCGAGUCCUGGGUGGACAACCACAGCCGCAGCCACCAUAUGCAAAGAGUCAGUGGACAAUAAAUGCGAGAAACAUCACGCGGGUCAGAAGGCUGAACACUGCGCUGUUGACUCUGAGCCACAGCAGAGUGAACGGGAGUUUGCGGCGCCACCCCGAUUAUGUUGUUUUCUUCACCAGUCCGGUUCCUCCGUUGAAAGAAAGACAAGAGUGAUGAUACCCGGAUGGAAGGGGUAUCAGAGCCCUACAAGUUCUUCGGAAAUGUCCACAGUCUCAGCCACCUUCUGGAGUUGGGAGACCCACCUGGAGGUUGGAAGCGUCAUCGUUUGCUUAGGAGUGAGCCCAAAACGCUCAUGCCCGCUGUGG